rnacentral:tRNA from 1 species
AAAGCAGUAGCUCAGUUGGCAGAGCAGCGGACUUCCAAGAAAGUUUUGAAAUUAUCCAAAAGGGUCAAUCAAGACUUACUUCAUCAUUAUCCGCAGGUCGCAGGUUCGAGUCCUGCCUGCUUUC